UACGAAGGGGGCUAGCGUUGCUCGGAAUCACUGGGCGUAAAGGGUGCGUAGGCGGUUCUUUAAGUCAGGGGGGAAAUCCUGGAGCUCAACUCCAGAACUGCCUUUGAUACUGAGGAUCUUGAGUUCGGGAGAGGUGAGUGGAACUGCGAGUGUAGAGGUGAAAUUCGUAGAUAUUCGCAAGAACACCAGUGGCGAAGGCGGGUCUCUGGGCCGAUACUGACGCUGAGGAGCGAAAGCGUGGGGAGCGAACAGG
rnacentral:rRNA from 1 species